UUAUUUAUAAAAACAACACUUCUCUUCUUCUUCCUUGAGCCACUCAAAAGCCCUAGCCGCCCCCUUUGUUUUCAUUUCUCCAGCCGCCGUUGACGCAGCUUCGUUCGCCGCCUCCAGCCACCAGCGUUCCACCGACGUCGGUCCGAGCCGUCUCUGCCACCGCCAACCCAACCCGAUUCCACUGCAUCGUUGCAGAGCUCAGCCUCGUCCUCAGGAUCCGCACGUCCGCCGCCGUCUCACUUUCGCUUCAGCUACAGACUCGCAUGACCAGAAACGCAGCUUCGUUUGCUACUCGUCCAGCCCGUUGUCCGAGCCCAGCCACCUUCCUCCACUGUCAUUCGUCAGAUUUCGGCGAAUGUUGGUAAGUUUUGGGUGAGAUCCAAGACUGGGGUACUUCGGAGUGCGCAACGUGUUGCCCAGCGGAUUCGAGUUUUUUCGGCAAGUAGUUUGGUAAGCGUUAUGAUCCUUGUUGUUGGUUGUUGGGUACCCAUUGAUUAUUGGACUAAAGGAUGGUUUAAUUUUAAGUAUUCUUGAAGGUUCCAAGUCGUGAUCCAUUGAUUUUAAAAUCUGCUAAGAGGAGAUUUUGGAGUCAAAAUCUUGCGAGUAUUUAUGGAGCAAGUUUCGUUUUGGGUAAGUUAAUUGGUGAUCAUUGGUUGCAUUUUGUAUGUUUGGAUCUUGACUUCGAGGCAUUAGCUUGGAUUAAUAUCUGAACUUGACUUCGAGGUAAGUUAUCUUACCACUGGAACUGUCCACGGGCCAGGAUUUAGACGAGUACUGAAUUGUUUAAAUACACGCCUAAGCACUUGAUCGUUAGUAUGUGAUGGUAUGUGUUCAUAUGUUGACGUCUGAUCUGCUAGUGUGAGGCAUACUUGUAUGUUGUAGAAUUAUGAUGUAAGGUCUACAUGAAUGUUGUAUAAUGUGUUAUUGAGGAUUAUGUGUAUGUGAUGGAGCCAUGGUACCAAGGAUUUCAUGUAUGUUUUAGAAUUGUACGGUGUUGAUUCUUUGAACGUUGAGAUUGUGUGAAUAUCCUCGUUGAUUAGUUAGAUGCUCACCAGUUUUGUGUUUCCUUCGGGAUUCACCAGUUUUGUGUUUCCUUCGGGAUUCACCAGUUUUGUGUUUCCUUCAGGAUUCACCAGUUUUGUGGUUCCUUUGGGAUUCACCAGUUUUGUGGGCAUACUUAACUACAAUAGGAUAUGACUCAGUCUCUUGUUUGUUCCAUUUGUUUAUGUGCCAUAGGUGGGUAUCUAGAGGACAUAGAUUCCUAGCCUGACCCCAGUGGUAGGAUUACUUACCGAGUAUUUCAUGCUCAUUCUUUCCUAUGUUGAUGUUUCAAGUAAGGGUAGAGAUGCACGGGUGAUGGCGCAGCGAAAUUCGUGACCGUGCCACUGGGACUAGAUUUUACGCAUCCACAUCAUGACAUUUAGAGUCCUUAUAUUUUUCCGUUAAUGUUUAGUUUUACUAUUUUAAACUUAUUAUUAAGGAUUAUGUCUUUUGUAUACUGUUAAUAGUCUUUACGAAUUAUGGGUACCCUAUUAUUGUU